GACGAACGCUGGCGGCGUGCUUAACACAUGCAAGUCGAACGAGUGGCGAACGGGUGAGUAACACGUGGGUGACCUGCCCUGCACUUCGGGAUAAGCAUGGGAAACUGGGUCUAAUACCGGAUAGUGUGGGAUGGGCACGCGGCCUAUCAGAGUGUUGGAGGGGUAAUGGCUACCAAGGCGCGACGGGUAGCCGGUCGGAGAGGAUGAUCAGCCACACUGGGACUGAGACACGGCCCAGACUCCGACGGGAGGCAGCAGUGGGGAAUAUUGCACAAUGGGCGCAAGCCUGAUGCAGCCAUGCCGCGUGUAUGAAGAAGGCCUUAGGGUUGUAAAGUACUUUCAGCGGGGAGGCGUUACCCGCAGAAGAAGCACCGGCUAACUCCGUGCCAGCAGCCGCGGUAAUUC
rnacentral:rRNA from 1 species